rnacentral:rRNA from 1 species
CAAGGCUGCACACGUACUACAUUGAUCUAGUCAACGAGUAUGUAUGUAACAUUGAUNAUGCAUCUAUUGGUUAAGCUAUAAUGUAUUUCGGUAACGUUAAUUCAGAACUUCGAGAAGGUUCCGACAACAGUCAAUCUAGUUAUUGCUUGUAGUUGUUAAUUGUAUAAUUGUCUAGUUCACGCAACGUUCGUUAUCAUUCUCUAGUAUUGUUAAUUCACAGUGGGGACAGUCGUUUGUAAUUCUGAGACUCGGUUCAACCAGGAAUGCCUCGUAUUUGUGGUUCAUUAAACUCCGUGGAAUAAGUCCCUGUCCUUUGUACACACCGCCCGUCGCUUUUACCAAUGGCCCUCGUUGUGAGAUAGCUGGACAAGUAUU